rnacentral:rRNA from 1 species
UACAGAGGUCCCGAGCGUUGUUCGGAUUUAUUGGGCGUAAAGGGUGCGUAGGCGGCGGAGUAAGUUGGGUGUGAAAUCCCGGGGCUUAACCUCGGAAUUGCAUUCAAUACUGCUUCGCUCGAGUUACUGGAGAGGAGGCUGGAAUUUACGGUGUAGCUAGUGAAAUGCGAUAGAUAUCGAGAGGAACAGCCUGCGGCGAAGGCGGGUUGCUGGGCUGACACUGACGCUGACAGCGCGAAAGCUAAGGGGAGCGAAGCGGG